rnacentral:rRNA from 1 species
GACGAACGCUGGCGGCGUGCUUAACACAUGCAAGUCGAACGGAAAGGCCCUGCUUUUGUGGGUUGCUCGAGUGGCGAACGGGUGAGUAACACGUGAGUAACCUGCCCUUGACUUUGGGAUAACUUCAGGAAACUGGGGCUAAUACCGGAUAGGAUCUCCUGCUGCAUGGUGGGGGUUGGAAAGUUUCGGCGGUUGGGGAUGGACUCGCGGCUUAUCAGCUUGUUGGUGGGGUAGUGGCUUACCAAGGCUUUGACGGGUAGCCGGCCUGAGAGGGUGACCGGCCACAUUGGGACUGAGAUACGGCCCAGACUCCUACGGGAGGCAGCAGUGGGGAAUAUUGCACAAUGGGCGGAAGCCUGAUGCAGCAACGCCGCGUGCGGGAUGACGGCCUUCGGGUUGUAAACCGCUUUCGCCUGUGACGAAGCGUGAGUGACGGUAAUGGGUAAAGAAGCACCGGCUAACUACGUG